rnacentral:rRNA from 1 species
GCUUACCAUGCAGUCGUACCAGUGAACACCAGAGCUUGCUCUGUGGGAUCAGUGGCGAACGGGUGAGUAACACGUGAGCAACCUGCCCCUGACUCUGGGAUAAGCGCUGGAAACGGCGUCUAAUACUGGAUACGAACCAUGAAGGCAUCUUCAGUGGUUGGAAAGAUUUAUUGGUUGGGGAUGGGCUCGCGGCCUAUCAGCUUGUUGGUGAGGUAAUGGCUCACCAAGGCGUCGACGGGUAGCCGGCCUGAGAGGGUGACCGGCCACACUGGGACUGAGACACGGCCCAGACUCCUACGGGAGGCAGCAGUGGGGAAUAUUGCACAAUGGGCGCAAGCCUGAUGCAGCAACGCCGCGUGAGGGAUGACGGCCUUCGGGUUGUAAACCUCUUUUAGCAGGGAAGAAGCGAAAGUGACGGUACCUGCAGAAAAAGCGCCGGCUAACUACGUGCCAGCAGCCGCGGUAAUACGUAGGGCGCAAGCGUUAUCCGGAAUUAUUGGGCGUAAAGAGCUCGUAGGCGGUUUGUCGCGUCUGCUGUGAAAUCCGGAGGCUCAACCUCCGGCCUGCAGUGGGUACGGGCAGACUAGAGUGCGGUAGGGGAGAUUGGAAUUCCUGGUGUAGCGGUGGAAUGCGCAGAUAUCAGGAGGAACACCGAUGGCGAAGGCAGAUCUCUGGGCCGUAACUGACGCUGAGGAGCGAAAGGGUGGGGAGCAAACAGGCUUAGAUACCCUGGUAGUCCACCCCGUAAACGUUGGGAACUAGUUGUGGGGUCCAUUCCACGGAUUCCGUGACGCAGCUAACGCAUUAAGUUCCCCGCCUGGGGAGUACGGCCGCAAGGCUAAAACUCAAAGGAAUUGACGGGGACCCGCACAAGCGGCGGAGCAUGCGGAUUAAUUCGAUGCAACGCGAAGAACCUUACCAAAGGCUUGACAUAUACGAGAACGGGCCAGAAAUGGUCAACUCUUUGGACACUCGUAAACAGUGGUGCAUGGUUGUCGUCAGCUCGUGUCGUGAGAUGUUGGGUUAAGUCCCGCAAC